CGGGGGGAGCCGGUUGUCCGGCUGAGAGGUUCCGUUCCGGAACGACCCCUUGAACCUGAUCCGGAUCAUACCGGCGAAGGGACGCGAUGA
rnacentral:ncRNA from 1 species